UACGGGGGGGGCAAGCGUUGUUCGGAAUUACUGGGCGUAAAGGGCUCGUAGGCGGCCAACUAAGUCAGACGUGAAAUCCCUCGGCUUAACCGGGGAACUGCGUCUGAUACUGGAUGGCUUGAGUUUGGGAGAGGGAUGCGGAAUUCCAGGUGUAGCGGUGAAAUGCGUAGAUAUCUGGAGGAACACCGAUUGCGAAGGCAGCUCGCUGGGACGUAACUGACGCUGAGACGCGAAAGCGUGGGGAGCAAACGGG
rnacentral:rRNA from 1 species